CUACGGGACGCACCAGUGGGGAAUAUUGCACAAUGGAGGAAACUCUGAUGCAGCAACGCCGCGUGGAGGAUGACACUUUUCGGAGCGUAAACUCCUUUUAUAUAGGAAGAAGAUGACGGUACUAUAUGAAUAAGCGCCGGCUAACUCCGUGCCAGCAGCCGCGGUAAUACGGAGGGCGCAAGCGUUACUCGGAAUCACUGGGCGUAAAGAGCGUGUAGGCGGAUUAAAAAGUCAGAAGUGAAAUCCUAUAGCUUAACUAUAGAACUGCUUCUGAAACUCUUAAUCUAGAAUAUGGGAGAGGUAGAUGGAAUUUCUGGUGUAGGGGUAAAAUCCGUAGAGAUCAGAAGGAAUACCGAUUGCGAAGGCGAUCUACUGGAACAUUACUGACGCUGAGAUGCGAAAGCGUGGGGAGCAAACAGGAUUAGAUACCCCCGUAGUC
rnacentral:rRNA from 1 species